rnacentral:rRNA from 1 species
GGGGAAUAUUGGACAAUGGGCGAAAGCCUGAUCCAGCCAUGCCGCGUGAGUGAUGACGGCCCUAGGGUUGUAAAGCUCUUUCGCAGGUGAAGAUAAUGACGGUAACCUGAGAAGAAGCCCCGGCUAACUUCGUGCCAGCAGCCGCGGUAAUACGAAGGGGGCUAGCGUUGUUCGGAAUUACUGGGCGUAAAGCGCACGUAGGCGGAUACUUUAGUUAGGGGUGAAAUCCCAGGGCUCAACCCUGGAACUGCCUCUAAUACUGGGUAUCUCGAGUCCGAGAGAGGUGAGUGGAAUUCCGAGUGUAGAGGUGAAAUUCGUAGAUAUUCGGAGGAACACCAGUGGCGAAGGCGGCUCACUGGCUCGGGACUGACGCUGAGGUGCGAAAGCGUGGGGAGCAAAC